GCCAACGUGGUAUAGUGGUUUGAGCGUUGGACUACAAUUCUGAAGAUCAAGGUUCGAUUCCUCGCUUGAA